UGGAAACUGGUUUCAGACGGUGUUUUAGAGUAUCAAUAACAUAUCUAGCACCAUUUGAAAUCAGUGUUCU
rfam:Salmo salar isolate Sally breed double haploid chromosome ssa22, whole genome shotgun sequence.